rnacentral:rRNA from 1 species
GACGAACCGUGCGAACGUUGUUCGGAAUCACUGGGCUUAAAGGGCGCGUAGGCGGGCUGCCGCGUCCGGGGUGAAAUCCCACGGCUCAACCGUGGAACGGCCUCGGAUACGGGCGGCCUCGAGGGGGGUAGGGGCAUCGUGGAACUGUGAGUGGAGCGGUGAAAUGCGUUGAUAUUCACAGGAACUCCGGUGGCGAAGGCGAGGUGCUGGACCCCUUCUGACGCUGAGGCGCGAAAGCCAGGGGAGCGAACGGG